AGUGAACGCUGGCGGUAGGCCUAAUACAUGCAAGUCGAACGGCAGCACAGUAAGAGUUUGCUUUUACGGGUGGCGAGUGGCGGAUGGGUGAGGAAUAGAUCGGAAUCUACUUUUUCGUGGGGGACAACGUAGGGAAACUUCCGCUAAUACCGCAUACAACCUACGGGUGAAAGCAGGGGAUCUUCGGACUUUGGGCGAUUGAUUGAGCCGAUGUCGCAUUAGCUAGUCGGCGUGGUAAAGGCCCACCAAGGCAACGAUCCGUAGCCGGUCUGAGAGGAUGAUCGGCCACACUGGAACUGAGACACGGUCCAGACUCCUACGGGAGGCAGCAGUGGGGAAUAUUGCACAAUGGGCGCAAGCCUGAUCCAGCCAUGCCGCGUGAGUGAAGAAGGCCUUCGGAUUGUAAAACCCUUUUAUUAGGAAAGAAAAACAGCAUGUUAAACCCCCGCUGUUCUGACGGUACCCAAAGAAUAAGCCCCGGCUAACUUCGUG
rnacentral:rRNA from 1 species